UGGGCCAUAUGUCCAUUUUUCGUCUUGUUCCCAAAUCGGAAACAUAAUCCCAGCCGUCAGUCCUCAGGGAACUGCUAAAUAUGGAAUACAACAUCUCAUUCUUUCCUCAUAUGCCCAGAUCUCAGCUUUUCUUGUGUCAGAAAUUACAUUUCGAAGAUGGGAUGAAUUUCCUUAUACAGGGGCAGCAGAUUUAUGCUUCCAUUCAUUUGCAGAAUGUUAAUCAUCAAGGCACAUUGUGUAAAUUCAAAACUUUUGUAAGAUGGUUUCUUGCCACAUAGAACCGGAAUUAAUGACGCUUGAAUAAGCACUGACAAUUUAGAACUUUCAGGUUUGAGAUGUACUAUCAAGCCACCUUAAAGUGAUGGCUUCUGCUGUGAAUUGCCAGCUUCCAAUUUACCUUUCGUCUUUUGGCUUAGCACUGAUGAAGCAAAUGUGCAGAAAUUACUCUUUGUUGGUGGGAAACAGAAUAUUAGUCUCUUCAAAGUUCAAAGGGUUCGGGAUCAGCAAAAGGGUUUUAGCUUGGCAUUUAGAAUUCCUGAGAUGAGAGGAAGCUGCAAUAUCAAAGCUUUAUGAUCGAUAUCAUGAUCAUAUGAGCAUUGCUCUGUAAAAAGCUUUGGUGGGGGGAAUUCAAGGUCUGGGCCUUUCUAAGACUAUAAAU